AGGACUAUAAGUUAAAAAAACUAUUGGCCUUCAAAGCCGACAUUGGGGUUCCUAGUCUUG
rnacentral:tRNA from 1 species